rnacentral:tRNA from 1 species
GAGAACGUGGCUUGGUGGUGGAGCGCUUGCCUGGGAUCCAGGAGGCCCUGGGUUCUAUGCCCAGCAUUUCA